rnacentral:rRNA from 1 species
AGUGAACGCUGGCGGUAGGCCUAACACAUGCAAGUCGAACGGCAGCACAGUAAGAGCUUGCUCUUACGGGUGGCGAGUGGCGGACGGGUGAGGAAUACAUCGGAAUCUACUUUUUCGUGGGGGAUAACGUAGGGAAACUUACGCUAAUACCGCAUACGACCUACGGGUGAAAGCAGGGGAUCUUCGGACCUUGCGCGAUUGAAUGAGCCGAUGUCGGAUUAGCUAGUUGGCGGGGUAAAGGCCCACCAAGGCGACGAUCCGUAGCUGGUCUGAGAGGAUGAUCAGCCACACUGGAACUGAGACACGGUCCAGACUCCUACGGGAGGCAGCAGUGGGGAAUAUUGGACAAAGGGCGCAAGCCUGAUCCAACCAUACCGCGUGGGUGAAGAAGGCCUUCGGGUUGUAAAGCCCUUUUGUUGGGAAAGAAAAGCAGCAGGUUAAUACCCCGCUGUUCUGACGGUACCCAAAGAAUAAGUACCGGCUAACUUCGUG